AUUGAACGCUGGCGGCAGGCCUAACACAUGCAAGUCGAGCGGAGCGGCGGACGGGCGAGUAAUGCCUAGGAAUCUGCCUGGUAGUGGGGGAUAACGUCCGGAAACGGGCGCUAAUACCGCAUACUAUCAGAUGAGCCUAGGUCGGAUUGGCUAGUUGGUGGGGUAAAGGCCUACAAGGGCGACGAUCCGUAACUGGUCUGAGAGGAUGAGCAGUAACACUGGAACUGGGACACGGUCCAGAUUCCUACGGGAGGCAGCAGGGGGAAAUAUUGGCAAAGGGGCGAAGGCCGGAUGCAGCCAUGCCGCGUGGGUGAGGAGGGUCUUCGGAUUGUAAAGCACUUUAAGUUGGAAGGCGUUACCAACAGAAUAAGCACCGGCUAACUUCGUGCCAGCAGCCGCGGUAAUAC
rnacentral:rRNA from 1 species